GAUGAAUGCUGGCGGCGUGCUUAACACAUGCAAGUCGAGCGAAGCUACUAAAAGGAAGUCUUCGGAUGGAAUUUUAGUAGACUUAGUGCGGACGGGUGAGUAACGCGUGGACAACCUGCCUUAUACAGGGGGAUAACGGAGAGAAAUUUCCGCUAAGACCGCAUAAGACCACAGCACCGCAUGGUGCAGGGGUAAAAUAUUUAUAGGUAUAAGAUGGAUCCGCGUCCGAUUAGCUAGUUGGUGAGGUAGAGGCUCACCAAGGCGACGAUCGGUAGCCGGCCUGAGAGGGUGAACGGCCACAUUGGGACUGAGACACGGCCCAAACUCCUACGGGAGGCAGCAGUGGGGAAUAUUGGACAAUGGGGGAAACCCUGAUCCAGCGACGCCGCGUGAGUGAAGAAGUAUUUCGGUAUGUAAAGCUCUAUCAGCAGGGAAGAAAAUGACGGUACCACUAAGAAGCCCGGC
rnacentral:rRNA from 1 species